UUUCCGACUCUGUAAAAUCGCCAUUGAUAUCUUCCUGGGUUUCUGUUGUUGUGGUCUUGUUUGACCGAAGAAGGAGAAGCUUUGUAAAGGGUAUUGAGGUUUUGCUUCUAUCUCAACUGGGUUCUGCUCAGCCAACAGAUUGAUCUCUUCUCUUCUGAAAAUUACCAGAUCAAGUAAAUUUUUAAAUUCGCCAUGGUUGAGCGUACCGUAAGUUUGGGGGUGGCUGGAGCUGAUUCAGCUCUGAAAGAAACGCUCCAAGCUCAACAAGAGCUUCUGCAAACGCUGUACACUGAGUUGGAUGUUGAAAGAGAAGCCUCGUCAAGUGCAGCAAGUGAAGCUCUAUCUAUGAUACUGAGGUUGCAAGGAGAGAAGGCCGCAUUGACAAUGGAAGCAAGUCAGUACAAGAGAAUGGCAGAGGAGAAGAUGUGUCAUGCCGAGACGUCUCUGGCGCUUUUUGAAGAGCUUAUAUACCAGAAAGAAAUGGAGAUUGCUUCUCUUGAGUUCCAGGUUCAAGCUUAUAGGUGCAAGCUUCUAAGCCUUGGUUGUUCUGAUCCGGGUGUGGGUGAAAAUAAAUUUCCUGAGAAUCUAAUGUUGCAGACAAAUGAUGCAUUGUUUGGAGAAACUGGUGCCGGAAGCAAUAUGGUCAGGAGACUCCAGUCUCUGCCUCCACUGCAAAUUGAUGACUCUAUGGACAAGAAAAUCACGGUAGGCAGUGACAAAUCUCUUUGCCCCAGCCCAGAUAUCAUCCCGGAUAAGGAAGUGAUUGAUCAAACCAUAGAUAUUUCAAAGAAGAGUUCAGACAUUUCUCCUGCUGGAGACUUGAAUUCGUAUUGGGAGCAGAUAAAGAAGUUGGACGAACGAGUUAGGGAAAUUUCAGAUUUUAAAGAUGCUCGAAUAGACAGAAAUCCAAUGGUAAAGCGCGACUCUAGAUCUCGUAUGCUGCUGUCACAUGUGAGCACUAGUAUCCUUGAAUCAACAAGAGAUGAAAUUGCAACAAACUUGGAGAAAGUGAAGAACUUCGAGAGGUUUUCAAAGAGCGAAGCAUUUGAUAAUCCUGCUUCUUCCUCUAAUGUGUAUGAUAUAUUUGAAGUCCCACAAGCAGAGAAAAGAAACAAUUCUCUGGCAGUGGAGAAGAAAGGGCGAGAUAAAUCUGCUUUUAAAUUGGAAGACAGGCUGGGGAAACCAGAUUUAGCCACUGACGAUAUCUUUGAACCUCAUGUUAAAGAUGACACUGAAAGCUUAAAGACAGUGUUGCUUAGCACAAACAAUGAGAAGAGGCUUUCAUUUCCUAAACCACCAAGAGAUGGAGCCAGUGCUGAUCGUAAAAGGGAUCUUAUUCAUGCAACUAUUAAUAUUAGUGAAUACCAAUCUGAGUUGCAACAGUUGAACCGGAGAGUUCAGCAACUAGAAGGGAAAAGAACCACUACAAGGAACGAAAUCAAUGAAGAAGGUCAAGACGAGUUGAAUUUGUUGAAGGAAAUACGCGAGAAACUCAAUUCAAUUCAAUCUGAGAUGAGAAGUUGGAAGAUGAAGGAGAAAACUCCACCUAUAGAUGAUUCUUCCCUUCAUCUUGUCCAGGAGGCCAUGCUGUACUUUUGGCUCUAAGGAGCAACUAAACUAUCCCCGGUGGCUUAUAGAUGCAUGAUUGGUUAUUGCCAUUCACAGAACACAGGACUGUAUCAGCAAGACAUUGUUUCCGAGCCCGUUCCGCAGGAAGACGGCGAAU